rnacentral:rRNA from 1 species
AUUGAACGCUGGCGGCAUGCCUUACACAUGCAAGUCGAACGGCAGCACGGGAGCAAUCCUGGUGGCGAGUGGCGAACGGGUGAGUAAUAUAUCGGAACGUGCCUAGUCGUGGGGGAUAACGCAGCGAAAGCUGUGCUAAUACCGCAUACGAUCUACGGAUGAAAGCGGGGGAUCGCAAGACCUCGCGCGAUUGGAGCGGCCGAUAUCAGAUUAGCUAGUUGGUGAGGUAAAGGCUCACCAAGGCGACGAUCUGUAGCUGGUCUGAGAGGACGACCAGCCACACUGGAACUGAGACACGGUCCAGACUCCUACGGGAGGCAGCAGUGGGGAAUUUUGGACAAUGGGCGAAAGCCUGAUCCAGCAAUGCCGCGUGCAGGAUGAAGGCCUUCGGGUUGUAAACUGCUUUUGUACGGAACGAAACGGUGAGCUCUAAUACAGUUUGCUAAUGACGGUACCGUAAGAAUAAGCACCGGCUAACUACGUGCCAGCAGCCGCCGUAAGAC